CGUAAAUAAGAGUUCCGGAGGCUAAAAGAAAUUGCUGUGGCCUGAGGAGCGAAAGCAGGCGAGGGGAAAGGGGAGGUCGAGACGAGAGCGAUCUGUUGGGCUAGCGAAAGAGCGCGAUGGAGGGCGGAGCCCAGCCGACAGACGCCGAGAUGAUGGAGGCGGGAGCGUAACUUCCGCCUCAGCCGUCCGCCGGUCCCGCCCCGCAGGGCCUAGACAACAUCCAGGUGACGCUCAGCCACGGAGGACGGUUCAUCCAGUACAACAUAUUUGGAAACAUCUUCGAGGUCACCUCCAAAUACAAACCCCCCAUCAUGCCGAUUGGCAAGGGCGCCUAUGGGAUCGUAUGAUUGUUACAAUCAGAGAUAUAAUACCACCUUCUGCAAGGAACACAUUCAAUGAUGUCUACAUUGCUUAUGAGUUGAUGGACACAGAUCUUCAUCAAAUUAUUCGCUCGAAUCAGGCUUUUUCUGAGGAGCAUUGCCAGUAUUUCCUUUAUCAGAUUCUUCGGGGGUUAAAGUACAUCCAUUCAGCAAAUGUUCUCCACAGAGACCUGAAACCAAGCAAUCUCCUCUUAAAUGCCAAUUGUGAUCUGAAGAUUUGUGACUUUGGGCUUGCUCGGACUACCUCAGAAACUGAUUUUAUGACAGAAUAUGUUGUUACAAGAUGGUAUCGAGCUCCAGAGCUAUUGUUGAAUUCUUCAGAAUAUACUGCAGCAAUUGAUGUGUGGUCUGUUGGUUGUAUCUUCAUGGAACUGAUGGACCGGAAGCCUCUAUUUCCUGGAAGGGAUCAUGUGCAUCAAUUAAGGUUAUUGAUGGAGCUUUUAGAUGGAAGCGGAUGAGUAUUUAUGGUAGUCCUUCCUUACUAAAUCAGCUAUUUGAUCAUUAUGGAAAGCUAAUAGAAGCUAUAGGACAAGAAGAACGCUUAUUGGCACGCCGAAUGAGACCGAAUUGGAUUUCCUGAAUGACAAUGCCAGAAGAUACAUUGGUCAACUCACUCGUUAUCCAAAACAAUCCUUGCCUGAAAAAUUUCCGCAUGUUAAUCAUACAGCUAUUGAUCUCGUUGAAAAGAUGCUAACAUUUGAUCCUAGGCAGCGAAUAACUGUUGAAGAAGCUCUAGCACACCCUUACCUAGCCGCUUUACACGACAGCAGUGACGAACCCGUGUGCAUGAUGCCCUUCAGCUUUGACUUCGAGCAGCAGGCACUUUCCGAGGAACAGAUGAAAGAACUCAUCUACCGGGAGGCUCUCGGGUUCAACCCUGAUCACCAGCAAUGAAAAUAAUCUUAAUCCUCUAUUAAUGCCUUGGACCUUAAAUCACUGUAAACGAAGUUGUUUGUGUGGUAUGGCACUGUCUCUGAUUUCUCAGGUAUGUGGAUGUCCAGAAUGCUGGUACUCGUUGAUGCUAGGGGUUGUACUCCGGGAGCUUCUGAUUAAUUGACUACACUUUUAUCAGUUGUCGUUUAGUUUUGCCGAUGUCACUCUUGGUAUGAUCACAUUAUACGAACACUAGAGUUGGUGGCUGCAGAUCUCUUUGCUUGGUUGAUGUCCAACGUACGAUAGUCAAAUUCGACGGCUAGUUUGCACGCAAACGCAACAGAUAGCCUAAAAGUAGGGUGGGGUGGUCGUGUUAGUCUUACGUGGAGCAUUUAAUAGAUCUGCAGUUGCAGGGUCUGAGAUUCCGACGUCGGUGGAGACCGAACGCUAUGGCGAUUUCUGGGAGCCAUGCGCAAGCAAACAUUAUUGGAACGGGUAGAAUCUAAUUUAGCUACCGUCUACGAUAAUUGACCUUUUAAU